UCCUCCGUGGCGCAAUUGGCUAGCGCGUCGUAAGUUAAAAUCUGACACUAUUGACAAUCUAAUCUAACCAUAUCGGCAGUGACUGUUAAUCAGGAGGUUGAAAGUUCGAGCCUUUCCGGGGGAG